GCCUUCUUAGUGUAAUUGGAAAGCACGUCCAGCUAGCAGUCGGAAGAUCUGGAGUUCAAAUCCUGGAGAGGGCA
rnacentral:tRNA from 1 species